rnacentral:lncRNA from 1 species
GGCUAUUGGAAACUACCUGUCCUGGGGAUUGCUGAGAGGUUGCCAUCUACCCGCUUACUUCUUGGAGUAAAAAUAGAUUUCAGCCAGCAGAAGAAAAUGGGGGAGAAAUGAAGUCAGAAGAAUCUGUGCAAAGGAUCUCCAUAUAAAUGGUGAAUGUGAUUGGAGCAAGUUUGGAGGACGUGUGCUCUGGGAGAUGAGCCUGGAUGGAGUAGAGGAUAAAUGUUUUUCAGUGAGACAGGAAGUCAUUUAAUACUAUCCUCAGGCUCCAGGAAUUUUAUCUGGGGUAACAUUAUUCAUGGGUGGCCCCACUAAGGAAUUUUUAAUGCUCUCCGACUGCGUUAAAUCCCUUCUAAGUGGAUUUUACAAGGUGGAAGGAAAAAUGAGUCUAUCUACUACUGAGAAACAAAAGUGGCCCAGGGUGUGAUAGCAAUUCAAGAAAUGAAUUCUGUACUGUUGGGCGGAUUAUGUGUAACAGGACGCUCGCUGCCUCACCGAGCCUUGCCCCUCCCUAUUCCUUGGGUCAAUAUACAAGAAUGGAAAUGUGGAAUUUUGUCCCUGAGCUAACAUCUUUGCCAGUCUUCCUCCACUUUAUAUGUGGGUCACCAUCUCAAC